CCUACGGGUGGCAGCAGUGAGGAAUAUUGGUCAAUGGACGUAAGUCUGAACCAGCCAUGCCGCGUGCAGGAAGAAGGCUCUAUGAGUCGUAAACCGCUUUUGUAAGAGGGUAAACGCAGAUACGCGUCUCUGUCUGAAAGUACCGUACGAAUAAGGAUCGGCUAACUCCGUGCCAGCAGCCGCGGUAAUACGGAGGAUUCAAGCGUUAUCCGGAUUUAUUGGGUUUAAAGGGUGCGUAGGCGGUCGUAUAAGUUAGAGGUGAAAGCCCGAGGCUCAACUUCGGAAUUGCCUCUGAUACUGGUCGGCUAGAGAGUAGUUGCGGUAGGCGGAAUGUGUGGUGUAGCGGUGAAAUGCUUAGAGAUCAUACAGAACACCGAUUGCGAAGGCAGCUUGCCAAGCUACUUCUGACGUUGAGGCACGAAAGCGUGGGGAUCAAACAGGAUUAGAUACCCUUGUAGUC
rnacentral:rRNA from 1 species